rnacentral:rRNA from 1 species
ACGGGUGAGUAACACGUGGGAACGUCCCCCUCGGUUCGGAAUAACUCAGGGAAACUUGAGCUAAUACCGGAUACGUCCGAGAGGAGAAAGAUUUAUCGCCGAGGGAUCGGCCCGCGUCUGAUUAGCUAGUUGGUGAGGUAAUGGCUCACCAAGGCGACGAUCAGUAGCUGGUCUGAGAGGAUGAUCAGCCACACUGGGACUGAGACACGGCCCAGACUCCUACGGGAGGCAGCAGUGGGGAAUAUUGGACAAUGGGCGCAAGCCUGAUCCAGCCAUGCCGCGUGAGUGAUGAAGGCCUUAGGGUUGUAAAGCUCUUUUGCCAGGGAAGAUAAUGACUGUACCUGGAGAAUAAGCCCCGGCUAACUUCGUGCCAGCAGCCGCGGUAAUACGAAGGGGGCUAGCGUUGUUCGGAAUCACUGGGCGUAAAGCGCACGUAGGCGGACUUUUAAGUCAGGGGUGAAAGCCUGAGGCUCAACCUCAGAACUGCCCUUGAUACUGGGAGUCUUGAGUAUGGUAGAGGUUGGUGGAACAGCAAGUGUAGAGGUGAAAUUCGUAGA